AUUCAAGCAGGUCUUGGAUUAUAAUGAAGAACGUCCUGGUUCCUACUAUGCCUGGUCAAGGCACUACUUCCAGAUUUACUUAUUGGAGAGAGAGGAUGUCAGUGUCAUUCAGUACCUUGACCGUUUGCAAGAAUUCAACCACACUAUGAUGAUGCUUGUUGAUCGGAGUCGAGUCAAAAAACCAAGAUUUCUGAGGCAGUUUGAAACCUUUACAGCAUUUAUUGGACUGAACAUAACAGACAUCAUCAAACCAUCUUAUGAUGAUUCCUGUGAGCUGUCCAGAGAACCUUAGUGCAUAAAGGAAGAGCCAUGGAGACCACACAGGAACCAGGAGCUGGGAUCCUACCAGCUUCUGCAGCAGCAGGCUGAACUUCUGAUGCCAAGAGGAGACAGUGCUUAUUACCCUUCCUCUUCUUUCAAUA